CGAUAAGCGUCGGGGAGGUGCGAAUACCCUUUGAUCCGACGAUUUCCGAAUGGGGCAACCCACCUUAGAUGACUAGAAAAUCUGUUUUGUUGGAGCAACGCUGGAUGGGUUUACACCCAUACAGACCGCUAGGUCGUUGGCCCAUGUGGGCCGCCCCCGCGGAGCGCCAGCAUUCCUCUGGAAUGCGUACGGCGCGUGAGCGAGAACAGCACAGCUUUCUAGUCAUCAUAAAUAAGGUAUCUAACCUUGAAUACAUAGGGGUUAGAAGCGAACCUGGGGAACUGAAACAUCUAAGUACCCAGAGGAAAGGACAUCAAACGAGACUCCGCUAGUAGUGGCGAGCGAACGCGGACCAGGCCAGUGGCUUUUGUGAAUAAAGUGGAACGAGUUGGAAAACUCGACCGAAGUGGGUGAUAGUCCCGUACACGUAGAAUAGCAGAAGUCCUUGAGUAGGGCGGGACACGUGAAAUCCUGUCUGAACAUGGGUCGACCACGAUCCAAGCCUAAGUACUCGUGCAUGACCGAUAGCGAACCAGUACCGUGAGGGAAAGGUGAAAAGCACCCCGACGAGGGGAGUGAAACAGUACCUGAAACCGGAUGCCUACAAACAGUUGGAGCCCAAGGUUUGUCCUGGGUGACAGCGUACCUUUUGUAUAAUGGGUCAGCGACUUAGUGUAUCGAGCAAGCUUAAGCCGGUAGGUGUAGGCGCAGCGAAAGCGAGUCUGAACAGGGCGUUCAGUUCGAUGCAUUAGACCCGAAACCAAGUGAUCUAGCCAUGAGCAGGUUGAAGGUACGGUAACACGUACUGGAGGACCGAACCCAUAUCUGUUGCAAUAGAUCGGGAUGACUUGUGGCUAGGGGUGAAAGGCCAAUCAAACUUGGAGAUAGCUGGUUCUCCGCGAAAUCUAUUUAGGUAGAGCGUCGACCGAAUACCCCCGGGGGUAGAGCACUGGAUGGGCUAUGGGGACUCACCGUCUUACUGAUCCUAACCAAACUCCGAAUACCGGGGAGUACUAGUCGGCAGACACACGGCGGGUGCUAACGUCCGUCGUGGAGAGGGCAACAACCCUGACCACCAUCUAAGGUCCCUAAGUUAUGGCUAAGUGGGAAAGGAUGUGAGGAUCCCAAAACAACCAGGAUGUUGGCUUAGAAGCAGCCAUCAUUUAAAGAAAGCGUAACAGCUCACUGGUCUAAAUAAGGGUCUUUGCGCCGAAAAUGUACCGGGGCUCAAGCCAUACACCGAAGCUGUGGAUGCACGUAUGUGCGUGGUAGCGGAGCGUUCCGUAAGCCUGUGAAGGGACAGUCGUGAGACAUCCUGGAGGUAUCGGAAGUGAGAAUGCUGACAUGAGUAACGAUAAAGGGAGUGAGAGACUCCCUCGCCGAAAGUCCAAGGGUUCCUGCUUAAAGUUAAUCUGAGCAGGGUUAGCCGGCCCCUAAGGCGAGGCCGAAAGGCGUAGUCGAUGGGAACCACGUUAAUAUUCGUGGGCCUGCAGGUAGUGACGGAUCGCGUGUGUUGUGAGGUCUUAUUGGAUUGAUCUUGCAGCGAAGCGGUUCCAGGAAAUAGCUCCUGCAUAUAGACCGUACCCUAAACCGACACUGGUGGACUGGUA
rnacentral:rRNA from 1 species